rnacentral:lncRNA from 1 species
GUAAAGGAGAAGAUGCCACACGGGAGGUCCUUCUGAAUACAAGACCUUUCCCCUCACCGCUGAGAUAAGCUCAAAUUCAAGCCCGGCCGCCACCGAAUGGUUCAAUGCCCAGCGUCCAGACAGGCCCAGAGCGCCGUCUACGCCUAUGCACGGCGGAUCCCCUAGCCUGCAUCGGCCUCGUUCUUAUUGAAAUCCCACUGAAAAGAUUCCGACUCCGACUUGGGCAGGGGAAGACUUCCAUACCCUACGCUCUCCCCCACCUGCACCCUCGCCACACAGGAUAAAAGGCCGCGGGGCGCUUCGAGCGGGGGGCACAAGCAGGAGCGAGCCGGGUUAAGCCGUGCAAAGCCGGUGCACGGGACUAGCCGGCAGGUGCAGCCAGCGCCCGGGCAGCCCUGCUUGGGCGCAUCCGUUGCCGCGACCCGGGGGUGGGGAACCACAGAGACAAAGGCCCCAGCUCUAGGGUGGGAGGGGGGCGCGUCGCAAAGCUCUGGAAAGCCGGGUCUCCAGGUCCAGAGCUCCGGAAAAACGGAAGACAGGAGGCCCCAGGCGGGCCUUUGGGUUUCCGGAUGACCUGGGUUUGAGGCACUGGAAGGAUUGUGCGAUCCGGUUGUUGGGAAGGCCCAGCCUGGGACCGGGAGGCUCGGGACGGCGCGGGCCGAGUGCAGGAACUUACCGACUGCGGCGCGGUGGGCGGCGCCCUCGGGCGGCUACGGCCAGGGCUCAGAAAGGAGGCAGCGGUGUGCGCAGCGUGGCUGGUCGGCCCUCGGGAGCCAGGGCGGCCGC